rnacentral:tRNA from 1 species
GGCGCUUUAGCUCAGUUGGUAGAGCAACGGACUGAAAAUCCGUGUGUCCCCAGUUCGAUUCUGGGAGGCGCCA